rnacentral:rRNA from 1 species
AACGAACGCUGGCGGCAUGCCUAACACAUGCAAGUCGAACGAAGGCUUCGGCCUUAGUGGCGCACGGGUGCGUAACGCGUGGGAAUCUGCCCUUUGCUUCGGAAUAACAGUUAGAAAUGACUGCUAAUACCGGAUGAUGUCGCAAGACCAAAGAUUUAUCGGCAAAGGAUGAGCCCGCGUAGGAUUAGCUAGUUGGUGGGGUAAAGGCCUACCAAGGCGACGAUCCUUAGCUGGUCUGAGAGGAUGAUCAGCCACGCUGGGACUGAGACACGGCCCAGACUCCUACGGGAGGCAGCAGUGGGGAAUAUUGGACAAUGGGCGAAAGCCUGAUCCAGCAAUGCCGCGUGAGUGAUGAAGGCCUUAGGGUUGUAAAGCUCUUUUACCCGGGAUGAUAAUGACAGUACCGGGAGAAUAAGCUCCGGCUAACUCCGUG